AUGACUUUGAUCUGCGUCCUCAUCUGGACUCUCCUCUGCUGCUGCUUCACAGAGUCCAGAGGACAGAUCACAGUGACUCAGCCUGGAGCAGUGAGCUCUGCUGUGGGAGGAACUGUGAGCAUCAAGUGUAGGACCAGUCAGAGGGUAUAUGGUGGAAGCUGUUUAGCCUGGUACCAACAGAAAGAUGGAGGAAUUCCUAAACUGCUCAUUUAUGAUGCUAGCUCUCAGUAUUCAGGGAUUCCAGCUCGUUUUACAGGCAGUGGAUCAAACGCUGACUUCACUCUGACCAUCAGUGGAGUCCAGGCUGAAGAUGCAGCAGUUUAUUACUGUCAGAGUUUUCAUGUUAUCAACAGUCAGUAUGUGUUCACACAGUGAAAAACAGUCAUACAAAAACCUCCCUCAGUCAGACUGAACAGAAACUGAACUGACUGCUGCAGCUGGAAGAUACUGCAGAGACUGAUACAGUUCACUGAGGACA